AAUGAACGCUGGCGGUAUGCCUAACACAUGCAAGUCGAACGGCAACACACUAAUAUUUUGCUCUUACCGUUUGCGGGUGGCGUACGGAUGACGAAUAUAUCGUAAUCUACUCUUUCGUGUAGGAUCACGUAGGUAAAGUUACUCUAAUAUCGCAUAUGACCUACCGUUGUGAGCAUUGGAUCUUCUCAGCUUUCGCGAUUGAACUAGCCGAUUUCGUAUUAGCUAGUUGGCUGGGUAAAGGCCCACCAAUGCGACGAUCCGUAGCUUGUCUGAGAGGAUGAUCGGCCACACUAGAGCGUAGACACGGUCCAGACUCCUACGGGAGGCAGCAGUGGGGAAUAUUGGACAAUGGGCGCAAGCCUGACCCAGCCAUACCGCGUGUGUGAAGAAGGCCUUCGGGUUGUAAAGACCUUUUGUUGGGAAAGAAAAGCAGCAGGUUAAUACGACGCUGUUCUGACGGUACCCAAAGAAUAAGCACCGGCUAACUUCGUG
rnacentral:rRNA from 1 species